UCUGAAGAAACAGGAUUCCCUGGAGUGAUUGCGGUUAUUGACUGCACCCAUGUUCGCAUUCAGAAGCCAAACAAUGAUGGUGCACAUUGCUACCUCAACAGCAAAGGAUAUUAUUCAAAAAAUAUCCAAUUGAUUUGUGAUUAUGACUUGAAAAUCUUUGGAGUUUUUGCAAGAUUUGGGGGUUCCACGGAAGAUGAUUAUAUAUGGGAAGUGUCUCAAGCUUAUAAGACACUUAAAGAGCGUUAUGAAGCGUGUAAAUCCACAGAGAAUAACUCUUGGCUAGUUGGUGACUCUGCCUAUCCACUGAGUCCUUGGUUGAUAACACCAUAUCAUCCUUCAUCGACACAUGAUGAACAAAGAUUUAAUGAAAU